rfam:Glossina pallidipes unplaced genomic scaffold Scaffold428, whole genome shotgun sequence.
GCACCUGCAAAUUCAGGUGUCGGGUUUGAGACCCCGGUUAUCUAAGAAGGCGCAUAACACGCCGAGAGCGUGUUUUUU